rnacentral:snRNA from 1 species
AGUGGAAACAACCACUUAAC